rnacentral:tRNA from 1 species
GGCCGCUGGGUGAUCGGCGCGCACCGGGCGCUCGAACGUUCCGCGCACGCCCUCGGGGAGGGCGGGGCGUUCGCGCCGCCCGCCGGGCC